rnacentral:rRNA from 1 species
AGUGAACGCUGGCGGUAGGCCUAACACAUGCAAGUCGAACGGCAGCACAGUAAGAGCUUGCUCUUACGGGUGGCGAGUGGCGGACGGGUGAGGAAUACAUCGGACUCUACUUUUUCGUGGGGGAUAACGUAAGGAAGCUUACGCUAAUACCGCAUACGACCUACGGGUGAAAGCAGGGGAUCUUUGGACCUUUCGGGGUUGAAUGAGCCGAUGUCGGGUUAGCUAGUUGGGGGGGUAAAGGCCCACCAAGGGGACGAUCCGUAGCUGGUCUGAGAGGAUGAUCAGCCACACUGGAACUGAGACACGGUCCAGACUCCUACGGGAGGCAGCAGUGGGGAAUAUUGGACAAUGGGCGCAAGCCUGAUCCAGCCAUACCGCGUGGGUGAAGAAGGCCUUCGGGUUGUAAAGCCCUUUUGUUGGGAAAGAAAAGCAGCAGGUUAAUACCCCGCUGUUCUGACGGUACCCAAAGAAUAAGCACCGGCUAACUUCGUG